UUCUGUAAGCCUGCGAAGGUGUGCUGUGAGGCAUGCUGGAGGUAUCAGAAGUGCGAAUGCUGACAUAAGUAACGAUAAAGCGGGUGAAAAGCCCGCUCGCCGGAAGACCAAGGGUUCCUGUCCAACGUUAAUCGGGGCAGGGUGAGUCGACCCCUAAGGCGAGGCCGAAAGGCGUAGUCGAUGGGAAACAGGUUAAUAUUCCUGUACUUGGUGUUACUGCGAAGGGGGGACGGAGAAGGCUAUGUUGGCCGGGCGACGGUUGUCCCGGUUUAAGCGUGUAGGCUGGUUUUCCAGGCAAAUCCGGAAAAUCAAGGCUGAGGCGUGAUGACGAGGCACUACGGUGCUGAAGCAACAAAUGCCCUGCUUCCAGGAAAAGCCUCUAAGCAUCAGGUAACAUCAAAUCGUACCCCAAACCGACACAGGUGGUCAGGUAGAGAAUACCAAGGCGCUUGAGAGAACUCGGGUGAAGGAACUAGGCAAAAUGGUGCCGUAACUUCGGGAGAAGG
rnacentral:rRNA from 1 species